UAGGAAAGAUUGGUGACCUAUCUGCAUGAUGGCAUUAACUACAAGGAUCAUCGAAGAGCCACAGUCACAAAGCCAGUCUCUGAAUAUGGUUCAAAGAAAUCUUAUAACUCUCUGAACAGAAGCAACCGAAUAUAUGGACCCCAUGACCCAGCUGUAUUAGUCUGUUCUCAUGCUGCUAAUAAAGACAUACCUGAGACUGCAUAAUUUAUAAAGGGAAGAGGUUUAAUGGACUCACAAUCAUGGCAGAAGGUGAAG
rnacentral:lncRNA from 1 species